CAGCUGUGGACAUAGCAAGAGGAGCAAGAACAGUCAGAAGACCUGCUGGCCAAGUGGCAGCCCAGCUGUACCUCCUAGCUUACAUCCUUUUUGGGUAAUGAAAGAAGCUGCAGUUCCUUAAGGGAAGGACAGAGGAACAUCCUCUUCAGACUGACACAAAAAGGGUUAAAGAUUGCUGAUGGAAUUCCUGUGCCACAUGCAUCAUUGAGGAGCAGCACAGAGGUGGAAAAGGGCUCUACAAUAAGGGAUCUCUGGCCUUCACUGGCCACCAAAGAGCUAUUGUGGAGCUCUGGAGAUACCAGCACCAUCGUCAGUGCAAGGGCCAGCUUGAGGAAGAAGGAAUUGUGACUCUUCCUGCCUGCAAAAGUAUGCCUGCUUGGAAAGUCCAUCUACAAAUCCUAAAGAGAUUGACUAUGAAAGACCCAUACCCUCUAAAAGAUUUGGGCUGAAGUAAUAGCCAAGUGCUCGUCUCAGGCAAUUCAGAACUGCUGAGUGUUAGAGCUCUGCCAUCCCCUGGUCAGCCUGUUUAUGUCACCUGAGCUCAGGAGCGGUGUGGAGCUACUGAAUCCAACAAAGCAUCAAGAGAUGCUGUCACAACCCUACAUACAGGGAAGUGCUGGGAAAACCCCAUGAGUGGAGGAGCAGGUAUAUUCUUCCAGGACCAGAAGGGAAGCGCACAUUUCAUCUGAGCUGGCACAGAGCUGGAGAAAGCUGCUUCACUGCUGCAACACUCGGCUGCCCACUGUUUGGUCCUGCUACCUCCCAUUGCACCCAUUGCUUAAUGAGACAACUGCAUGAUGAGCUGCUACCAGCACCUUCAAAGCACUUCCUCAUGGAAUUAAUCAAUCCCUAAGAUGACAACAAGAUAAUCAGUUUGGCCAUCCAAAAUGGAAAGGGGAAGAAAAGAAAGGUUUGACACGCAGUGGCAGACAUGUAAAAAUGACUACAUGCCUUCCCGAGACAAAGGCACUUCACCACUGCAGCUCUGGCAUCCCCCAACGCUAUUGGAACAGUGCUGGCAGCACCAGCUCUGACCCGGACACCUGGCCUUGCCUGGGGAAUGGAGUCUCCUCCCUCUGCCCCAUGCCAGAGGAUGUGUCCCGUUGCAGCCAGACUCUGCCCAGAGCGUGGCACCGCGCUGCUCAGCCAGCAAGUCUCAUGCAGAUCACCAAACUGAAGGAGCAGUCUUCACUCAGCCAAACCAUUCCCACCCAGGAGCUGUGUAUCACAACAGCCUCAGCAAGAUCACGGCAGUGGCAACUGAAAAAUGGAAGCAGAGAAGCUCUCACCAUGGCAGAGAUAGCACAAAUUAUAUGUUCUGCCUCUGCAAGGGAGGAAACAUGCUCCUCCAGGACUCUAAUCCCCAUCGCUAAUACUAUUAAAUAUUUAUGUACCACCACAACUUUGCAUGACACUUCACAGAGAUAAAAGUGCUAUCUCUGUGCUGAAGAUCUUAGAGAUGACGUCAGACAAAUGAAGAAAGCAAGGUUUACAGAAAGGAGACAUGAUGAGGAUUAAGAAACCAAACCAAAGCAGGUGACCCAGAAGCAUUUUUAAAUUGCAAGAGAGAGUGGGACGCAGGCAGAGGAAAUUUUGGGGUUCAUUUUGCUUUUCAAGCUUUUUAACUUCUAAAAGUAGUUCCAGCCUUAUCAGUGAUGAGAGAUUACCCAGUUUCCAAGAAGAAAUCAAGUUAUAUAUGGAACUGAGAGACCCUGCAGAGAGAGGCAGCACUCACAGCAUCGCCUGAGACAACAAUGGAUGGAAUAUGUCGGGCAGAGGUGCAGCCCAGGAAGGCUGGGAAUCACCAGCUUGCAUCAAUGCUUGCAUCUCCUGGUGGCCUGCAGACAGAGAAAGGCUCCAAGCAGGAAGGUCAUGAACAGAAAAGCAUCUUUGAAGGCAAAGAAGGCUUCACCCCUCUUCAAAUCAAGGAGCUCGGAGUGAGAGUGUUUGAAGGCACAGAGAAGAGAGAAUUUGACCAGAGAAGACAUCAUUAUUUGAAACGAGCAAUUAGUUACAUGAUGCUGUCUCACUGAUUAACGCGCACAAACGAG